rnacentral:lncRNA from 1 species
CUCUGGGUGAGGGCCGCUGGGUCUGGUUUUGUUCUGUCGCUCAUCUGUGCAAGCGUCUCUAGGGGACAGAGAAGACCCCCUGGCAAGCAUCUGUAGGAGGCCAGAAAAAAACCCACCCAGGCCAGCUCUGGGAAACAAGAAAAGCGCCCCCUGGACCUAACACCCCCUACUCCGGAUCUUCCCACUCAGGUCUCAGUGUUUUUGCUGUUUUCAUGGAGGAUAUUCCCAUUUCCUGUUAUGGACUGAAUAACUGUGUCCCCCAAGAAGUCAUAUGUUGAAUCUUUAAUCCUUAAUGUGGUACUAUUUGGAGGUGGAGAAUUUGGGAUACCUUGAGAGUGGAGUCUUCGUGAUGGAAUUCGUGCCUUAGAAGAAGAAACGUAGAAUCUUUCUGUCCCUCUCUGUUUCUUCCAUAUGACGACACAAUAAGAAGAUCAUCAUCUGCAAGCCAGGAAAAGGAUUCUUACCAAAAAUAAAUUUCUGUUGUUUAAGCCAG